rnacentral:rRNA from 1 species
AAACCAACAGGGAUUGCCCCAGUAGCGGCGAGUGAAGCGGCAAGAGCUCAGAUUUGAAAUCGUGUUUCGGCACGAGUUGUAGAGUGUAGGCGGGAGUCUCUGUGGAGCGCGGUGUCCAAGUCCCUUGGAACAGGGUGCCUGAGAGGGUGAGAGCCCCGUAGGGUGCUGCGCGAAGCUUUUGAGGCCCUGCUGACGAGUCGAGUUGUUUGGGAAUGCAGCUCCAAGCGGGUGGUAAAUUCCAUCUAAGGCUAAAUAUUGGCGAGAGACCGAUAGCGAACAAGUACUGUGAAGGAAAGAUGAAAAGCACUUUGAAAAGAGAGUGAAACAGCACGUGAAAUUGUUGAAAGGGAAGGGUAUUGGGCUCGACAUGGGGGGUGCGCACCGCUGUCUCUUGUAGGCGGCGCUCUGGGCGCCCUCUGGGCCAGCAUCGGUUCCUGCUGCGGGAGAAGGGGCUCCGGAAAGUGGCUCUUCGGAGUGUUAUAGCCGGGGCCAGAUGCCGCGUGUGGGGACCGAGGACUGCGGCUCUGUCUCGGAUGCUGC